GAUGAGUAUUCUAAGGCGCGUGGAAGAACUCUCUUUAAGGAACUCUGCAAAAUAGCACCGUAUCUUCGGUAUAAGGUGUGGUUCGCUUCGUAUUAGGAUUUACUCCGAAAGCGAAGAAACUUACAACAAAGAGUCCCUCCCGACUGUUUACCAAAAACACAGCACUCUGCUAACUCGUAAGAGGAUGUAUAGGGUGUGACGCCUGCCCGGUGCUCGAAGGUUAAUUGAUGGGGUUAGCAUUAGCGAAGCUCUUGAUCGAAGCCCGAGUAAACGGCGGCCGUAACUAUAACGGUCCUAAGGUAGCGAAAUUCCUUGUCGGUUAAAUACCGACCUGCAUGAAUGGCGUAACGAGAUGGGAGCUGUCUCAAAGAGGGAUCCAGUGAAAUUGUAGUGGAGGUGAAAAUUCCUCCUACCCGCGGCAAGACGGAAAGACCCCGUGGACCUUUACUACAGCUUGACACUGCUAUUUGGAUAAGAAUGUGCAGGAUAGGUGGGAGGCUUUGAGUAUAUGACGCCAGUUGUAUAUGAGCCAUUGUUGAGAUACCACUCUUUCUUAUUUGGGUAGCUAACCAGCUUGAGUUAUCCUCAAGUGGGACAAUGUCUGGUGGGUAGUUUGACUGGGGCGGUCGCCUCCCAAAUAAUAACGGAGGCUUACAAAGGUUGGCUCAGAACGGUUGGAAAUCGUUCGUAGAGUAUAAAGGUAUAAGCCAGCUUAACUGCAAGACAUACAAGUCAAGCAGAGACGAAAGUCGGUCUUAGUGAUCCGGUGGUUCUGUGUGGAAGGGCCAUCGCUCAAAGGAUAAAAGGUACCCCGGGGAUAACAGGCUGAUCUCCCCCAAGAGCUCACAUCGACGGGGAGGUUUGGCACCUCGAUGUCGGCUCAUCGCAUCCUGGGGCUGGAGCAGGUCCCAAGGGUAUGGCUGUUCGCCAUUUAAAGCGGUACGCGAGCUGGGUUCAGAACGUCGUGAGACAGUUCGGUCCCUAUCUGCCGUGGGCGUAAGAAGAUUGAAGAGAUUUGACCCUAGUACGAGAGGACCGGGUUGAACAAACCACUGGUGUAGCUGUUGUUCUGCCAAGAGCAUCGCAGCGUAGCUAAGUUUGGAAAGGAUAAACGCUGAAAGCAUCUAAGCGUGAAGCCAACUCUAAGAUGAAUCUUCUCUAAGCUCUCUAGAAGACUACUAGUUUGAUAGGCUGGGUGUGUAAUGGAUGAAAGUCCUUUAGCUGACCAGUACUAAUAGAGCGUUUGGCUUAUCUUUAAUAAAGCAU
rnacentral:rRNA from 1 species